rnacentral:lncRNA from 1 species
AUGAGGAGACAUUUCUGCUCAGAAAGAGCAGUCAGGCACUGGGACGGGUUGCUCAGGGAGGUGGUGGAGUCACCGUCCCUGGGGAUGUUCGAGGAGAGGUUGGACGUGGUGCUUGGGGACAUGGUUUGGUGGGUGACAUUGGUGGUAGGGGGGUGGUUGGACCAGGUGAUAUUGGAGGGCUUUUCCAACCUUAAUAACUCUGUGAUUCUGUGUUUAGCCUGGAGAAGGCUCAGGGGUGACCUGACUCCAGCUUUUCUAAGAAAAAAACCUCCUGCUUGGUGGCCAGGAACUGGAGACCUGCACAUCUGGCCACAAAGGCACCAGUGCUGCAAAGAAGACAUCCAGCUGUUUAUGGACACACCUUCUGCCCAGGGCUUUAGUUGCUGAAGUCAGUCAGGAGCCUCCGCUGAGCCCGGUGCCCACCAGAGACACUCCUGCAGCUUUGUGCUACUGGAGGCUCCAAACGUGGACAGGAGCUGCCCCCACUCCAAGCAGCCUUUUGACAAGAUAAUGGCUCUGUGUGCAUGCUAGGUCCAAGAUAAUGUUUUUUUCUACUCAUUUUCACAAGGCCUGACGAAAAUUGUGCCUCUCCCCUGCCAUUUAUUUGGUGAAAUAACAGGGUUUGUCCAUUAGAAGAAAAUCUCUCCUCUACUUGUGAAGACAAGUACAUUUGGGAUAAGUUUCCAGUGUUAAACCCGAGCCUGAGGAAGCUUAUGAUUCACAGGGCACGGCAAAAUGCUGCCCACUGCUCACCACCUCUUGCUGUUACACAGUCUCUCAGAUCUGAUAAACACAUUUAGGGCUUUGUCAUCUCCUUUGUUCAGGGAUGUAAGAAUUCUGCAGGAUAACACAUUAAGUGAUAUAGUUUGUGACCUUCAUUUUACUGCAGAUUUAAAUCCCUGUUAAGGAUCUGGCCUUAUCAGAGGCAGGCAGUCUUCCAUUUGGGAAAAAGGGGCUCAGUUCAGUACAAACUGCUCUCUCUGAGACCAAGGGAAAAAACGAAAACUAUUUCCAUGAAGAACUAAAGCUGGGAAUAAAGAAAUAGCUUCAUCAUCA